UAGGGAUCAAUAUACAGAGAAGAUACAACUGGUUUUGUUAGUCAAUCUGGUGAAACUGCAGAUACGUUACAUGCAUUAGAGUAUGCAUUAGAAAAUGGUGCAUUAUGUGUUGGCAUUACAAAUACUGUUGGUAGUGCAAUUGCCAGGAACACACACUGUGGUGUUCAUAUAAAUGCUGGUGCUGAGAUUGGUGUGGCUAGUACCACGGUAUAAAAAUUUGUUUUUAUUUAAUUUUUUUUAUAGGUGUCGUAUUUUGAGUUUAUCUCAUGACCUCUGCCAACAGGCAUACACUAGUCAAAUAGUAGUGAUGGUUAUGCUAGCACUGGCAAUUGGUGGCGAUACAAUAUCCAGUCAAGCAAGAAGAGAGGCUAUAAUAGAUGGCCUAUUUGAAUUGCCAAAUAUGUUUUAUUGAUUUCUUUCCUUGUCAUGUUGCAGAUUUCAUAGACUUUCAAUUUAGGGGAAAGUGAGAUUUUGUAAGAACAACUCAAAAUAAUUGCACUUUCAUAGAGGUACAAGUGGGUGUUGUGCUCCACGACUUGCACUUGCACCGGACAUAGACCCACUUGCACCUCUAUGAAAAUUGCAUUUAUUUUGUAUGUUCCCACUAAACCACAAUUUCCCUUUCUAUUUAUGGCCAAGGAGUCAGAGAGGUGCUGAAGCUUGACCAGGAAAUGAAGGAUCUUGCGAAACUAUUGAUUGCUGAGCAGUCAUUGCUUGUGUUUGGGACAGGAUACAACUAUGCAACGGCUCUUGAAGGGGCCUUGAAAGUGAAGGAGGUGGCACUUAUGCACAGUGAAAGUAUACUUGCUGGUGAAAUGAAACAUGGUCCUCUGGCUUUGGUUGAUAAAAUCUCCCAAUUGUUGUCAUUGCUAACCGUGACGCUUGUUUCAGCAAGCAGCAGUCAAUUAUUCAGCAACUUCAUGCUCGCAACGGUCGACUCGUUGUUAUGUGUUCAAAAGGAGAUGCAGCAUCUGUGAGCGUGGGUGGUUCUUGUAGAGUAAUUGAAGUCCCCCAGGUUGAGGACUGUCUUCAACCAGUAAUUAAUGUAGUUCCCAUUAUAGUGCAGUUGUUGGCAUAUCAUCUCACCAUUCUAUGGGGCUACAAUGUUGACCAGCCUCACAAUCUUGCAAAGAGUGCUACAACCCAAUGAGGAAGGUUCGUCUCACUUUUUUGAAGGGCUACAUUGUUGACCAUCUUCACAAUCUCGGAAAAAAUGUGGCAACCCAAUUAGGAAUCUUUAUCCAUAGAAUUCUAAUGCUCCUCAUGUUUUAGAAUAUUGUGAAAAGCAGGAUUUCCAACUGAACCCUUACCUUUUUCAUUUGAGAUAAUUAAACAC